ACCAAGAGAGUCUGCUCCAACUUCAGCCCUGUGUGGACCAUCUCUGCGUGUUUCUACACAUCUCCCCCAGUUUCUUUACUGAUCCACAGAAUAUAGCUGUGUUAAAGGGUUGCAAGACGGGAGCCAGCAUCUUUGCAAAGGGAGCUCGUGGCCGUUCUCAGCAGGGAACGCUGGCGCGAGGAGCAAAGGCGGUGCGGAACUCAGGAGACAAAGCCAAGACCGCAGCACUGAACGGACAGAGGCCGGUGCGCGGGGGUACAGGGACGCGCGCAUACGUCUCUCGGACCCUGGCUAGGAGGCCAGGCUUCUGGACCUUUCACAGAGGUCCACUGGAACCGGUUGCCAAGCCGGCGACCCCUUGCUGUCAUUUCCGACUCCCCCAAGACGUUGUAGGGAGUGCUCAGUAAACUUAAGGGCAGGCGUGGAAUUCCUGGGCUGACAGUGGUUUGGGGCUCUUGGAAAGGUCCGGGCUGAAGGGAGCAAAGAUUGGAUUAAGUAACUACGUCCGGGUUGCGGGGAAAAAGAAGUCAUGGAGAAUUUGAUCCAGGAGAGAGGCAAGCGUUACCUUGCAUCUGGGAUGAGCAACAGCCCAUGUCGAGUGGAUCAGAGAGGAGGAAACGCUGCACUGUGAGGGACUGGUCAGGAUAUGCAGGGCUUUGUGCCAUGGCAGAGACUGGGGAAGAGGUGUCAGCAGAGGCCUCAGGGUUCUCAGACAUGAGUGACUCAGAGUUUCUAGAGUAUCUGGAUCUGGAAGAUACUCAAGAGUCAAGUGCUUCACUUAGCAAGCCUGGCCCUUCUUCCGAACUCCCUGGGAAGGAUAGCAAGCUCAUAAGCUUACCAACGUGGAAAAGAAGAUUGGAUGUCUCAUCACCAAUGGAGCGAUUCCACCUUAAAUAUUUGUAUGUCACUGACCUGUCUACUCAGGAUUGGUGUGAACAGCAAAUGGUAUAUGAGAAGGAGCUUCCUGGUUUCUUGGCUCCUGAGAAGGCAGCUGUUUUGGACACUGGUGCCAGCAUCCACCUAGCUAGAGAACUGGAAGUCCACGAUCUUGUGACUCUCCCCAUCACUACUAAAGAAGAUGCUUGGGCAGUUAAAUUUCUGAAUAUAUUAUCAAUGAUUCCUGUCUUGCAGUCAGAGGGACGUGUCAGAGAGUUUCCAGUGUUUGGAGAAGUGGCGGGUGUGCUGCUCGUUGGAGUAAUUGAUGAGCUGCACUAUACAGCCAAGGGGGAACUGGAACUGGCUGAACUGAAGACACGCAGGCGCCCUAUGCUCCCUCUGGAAGCCCAGAAAAAAAAAGACUGUUUUCAAGUCAGCCUGUACAAAUAUAUCUUUGAUGCUAUGGUUCAAGGGAAAGUGACCAGCACUAGCCUAAUCUACCACACAAAAUUAUGUCCAGACAAACCACUGGGACCAUCAGUGCUGAAGCAUGCCCGGCAGGGAGGCUUCUCUGUGAAGUCCCUGGGUGACCUCAUGGAGUUAGUCUUUUUGUCUCUAACUCUGUCUGACCUCCCAGUUAUUGAUAUCCUGAAGAUUGACUAUAUCCACCAAGAGACUGCCACUGUGCUGGGUACAGAGAUGGUGGCCUUUGAAGAGAACGAGGUGAAAAGCAAAGUGCAGCAUUAUAUGGCCUAUUGGAUGGGCCACCGAGAGCCUCAAGGGGUUGAUGUGGAGGAGGCUUGGAAAUGCCGGACAUGCAGCUAUGCAGAUAUCUGUGAGUGGAGGAAGGGCGGUGGGAUGCCCAGCUCCAUUCCAGAGCACCAGGCCAAAAGAGUGAAAUGAACAGAAGGGUAUGCCUUCUUCAGGAACUUUGAUCUUUCCUGCUCCUAAUGUACUCAGCAGAAUGAAAGAGGACCAGUCUUUGAGCUUGGCUUUCAUGGAGAAUGUUCUUACUUUGGUUCUUUCCAUAUUUCCUCAAAUUCUAACCAUUCAAAUCAUUCAGGGGUGAGUGGGAGAAAUCUGGGAUUCUAUGAUCUCUGGAACUAUGCUGCGAAUUGCCAAGAAGACACUUGCUCAGCGUGGCUGGAGCAAAAGGCGCAGCUCUUGGGAAGCCACAGAGAUACCAACCCAGGAAUCUCCCCCAAAGAGGCAGAGGCUUCCGAUGCCUUCCGGAAACGAGCU